rnacentral:ncRNA from 1 species
AAUGAAGCGUUGAAGGAAAGAGUACUUACUGACUUUACCCAAAGCGAGCCGGGGAUGGUGAAAGCCCGGCGGAGAAGCAGCAAGGAAAAUCACUCCUGAGCUGGACUUUGUUUUAUGCGGAGCCCCGGUUACACUGCCGUUACCAGUGUCUAAGCGGCAAUUGUGUAUGCAAUUGCAAGUAGGGUGGUACCGCGAGAAUAAGCCUCGUCCCUUUU